rnacentral:tRNA from 1 species
GCCGGUGUUGCUCAGUGAUUAGAGCAUCAGCCUGCAUACUGAAGGGUUUCAGGUUCAAUUCCUGGUCAAGGGCA